GGAAAGUGGCAGAAUUGAAACCCAGAACCCCUGACCCCCCGCGAGCUCAUGCUCUUUCCACGAGGCCACGUGGCUUCUUGUAGUGUGCCCAAAACCAUUUGAGGCUGUGCUUCCCUUCGGCCUGAAGAUAGCCGUUCUUUUUCUUGCACACAUCUGUUCUCCUGGGCAUAUGUUUUAGUAUCCGGCUAUCGUUCACUCGCUUUCUGUAAACGCAUCCAUUCGCUAGAGUGCCCAGUCCUUGCUACAACCUCCCAAAUGCCUGAUUUAGUCCUCUGCACACAGUAAGUGCUUCAUGCAGACCACUGACAGAUUUUAUCUCCCGGCCCUGUUGCUCGAACACCGCAGUUGAUGCCGCCAUUUAGGAUUUAAUUGUUAGCCCUCAUGAUUUGCCAUUCGGUUUCAAAUCUGGUCCGUGGUGGUCACGGAUGAAAUUGCUCAGGAGCAGUUCCGACUGAUCCCUGUGCCUCCUUGUACGUCUGCUUCCAGAGCCCAGUCUGUGUCAGCAUCCGGCGGAUUCUGGACGGCCUCCUCGGGCAUCGGUCGAGCCACCGUCGGUUGCCUCCGAAGCUGGUGAGACGGAAGAGUGAGUCCGAAAGGAGUUCUGACCCAGCUUCCAGGCCUUUGGUUGUCUUCAAACACGGGCCCGUUGCUCAGCCCCGCUGUCCUCCAGGGGUGAUGAGGACCCUUUCCCGUAUCUCUGCCCCUUCCCGUUCUGAGGACUUCCGGACGGAGGGUUGGGCCCUUUCUCUCAGGAGGCAGAGACUGACACAUCCCCAGGGAAGGACUUGGCCAAGGAAAUUAGUAGCUGGGAUGUAAGAAUAAUAGCAACACACGUAUGUACACAGACCCCCGUUUACGCUCACAUAUACACCUUGCACACAUCCCCCCAAACAUGUGCAUAUCCACCAGCCCUCCCUGGGCACCCACAUGCACGCACACACAUACACAGCACAGUUAUAUGGUACUCUCCCAAGCGCUUAGUACAGUGCUCGAUAAAUACGAUUGACACACACAUACACCCCCCCUAGAAAAUAGAAAGUCACCCACUAAUAAGUCAUUUUUUCCAAAGGGGGAUCUUAUAUAUGGCGCCUCCGCAUCGAUAACGUCCCCCUUCUCCCCCC
rnacentral:lncRNA from 1 species